GAGGAGGCAAAGAGCAAAUGGAGCUAGUAUGGGAGCGGGGGAGCUCAGAGUAUUCGACGGAAAAUAUUUCCCGCCAGAGGAAGUUGCAUUUGCCAGACACUGUUCUAGUUAAUCGCACAAAGGAGGAGUUCGCUGCUUAAUUGCCUGCGUUUCAAAUGACGGAGAGAUAAGGCAGAGAGAAGCGCGGGCUGCAGUUGUUAGAAAAGAAACGAGCGGUCUCUUGCCUACGUCACGGGACCGAGCCCAUUGUGCUCGUCGCUGUAGAAUCAACCACCUAAAUCCAUAGGCUUAAUCCAUAGUUUUUUGCCAUGGAUUAAGUAAUAACAAAGCACCCAUUAUGCCUUUGCUCCAUCCCGUUCCGUCUACCACCCCAAGUGUCUUUUUUUUGUUGGGGGCGGGGCGUUGGUCGGUGGUGAAUCUUGGAACAAGAGGAGCCUGGAUAGCUCAACAGACAGAGCUCUGUAAUUUAAGACCAGCUGUCUGCAAUUAAAAGUAAAAUCUAAUCCCGCCAGGCUCAAGAUUGACUCAGCCUUCCAUCCUUUCUAAGCCGUCAGAACAGACAUUUAUAGAGAUGUCUUCUCUUUCACUUUUGCUGACACAUCUGGAUGAUACAAAUUGCACGGACCAAGAAUGAUGGCUGUCAUGAAUGCUCCCAACAUAUCCAGGUGUACCUACCUGCUUCCUGAGUUUCAUCUGGCCAAGGAAUUCUCAACCCAUGUAAAGUGGCAAGAAGACUUGUAAAGGAAAGUUAAUCAAUGGAAUAGUUUGGACCAGGGAUCACCAACCUUUCGGACCUCAGGGACCACUAAAUUCAUAAUUUUAAAUCCCGCGGACUACUAAUAUGAUCUGCCUAAUGACUGGCUGGGUGGGCGUGGCUAGGUGGCCAGGUGACUGGAUGGGCAUGGCCAACUCAAUGUCACUCACAUCAAGGGGCACCUUGUCGGCCUCUACUCGCCUCUCCCCUCCUAGCCACUCAUAACCUGCCCACCUGGGCUCCUUAGGGCCCCAAACAGGAAGCAGUUGUUGGAGUUAAGCAGCCACCAUGAAAAAGAGUCAGCAAAACAGCUGGCUCAGUUCAAAUUGGAUCUGGCUGAGAAGGAGGCUCAGUAGAAGCACCUCACUGAGGACUAGGAGCAUAGGCUUUCCAAGCAGAGGGAAGACCUGCGGGAGUGCAAGGCCAGGUACCGGCACCUGGAGGCUCAGCAGGCUGAGAUGGUCAGCCACUUCCAGACCAUGAUGCAGUCCCACUGGAACGAGAUCCUCCAGCUCUUCACCACCAGUGGCACUUCCCUCCAGCCUUCGCCCAAAGCCCUGCACCAGGAGGCUGAAGCAAGUCGGAAUUUCUGCCCCUCUCUGACCCACACAAAAAGACCCUGACGGGGGAUACUCUCUGCAGUAACACAAAUGUUCACUGCACAUAUCUGGCCCAGGGGCCAUAGUUUGAGGACCCCUGAUUUCGUGCAAUAUAAAAAAUACAAAUAAUUUUUCUGAGGACCACCAAAAUUUUCUCACGGACCACCAAUGGCCCAUAAAUCACCAGUUGGUGACCGCUGAUUUUGACAACCAUUUGACUGGGAUGACAUAAGGCUCCUGCCUUGAGCAGAAGGUUGGAUUAGAAGACCUCUGAGGUUCCUUCCAGCCCUAUGAUUCUAAUUCAGAUUUAUUUCCGACAAGCUCAGAAGACAAUCUUUUAACACAGUUUUGUGAAAUGACCCAAGUAGCAGCUUGGCAGUUCUACUUGUACAUGGAAAAUGCUGUGGAGAGAAUUUCAUUCUCUUAAAACAUUACUGCCAGACAUCAAUACAUGAGAGAAAAAUAUUGUAUAUGAAAAGAAACAGGACAGAAUGUAUUAGGAAGGCUGAAUACUAAUGAACAUUAUUUUUCUUUCUUUCUUGUAUUGCAUAAUUGUUGCGAAAUAUUUACAGGUCCUUCCUGGAACAGUUCUCUCAGAUUUGUUCUCAGAUGUUUGCAAAUUAUAGUCAAGAGAAUUGCAAUAUGACGUUUUUCUUUCA